CAGGGUGGGGCCUGGGAACCUCGCCCGCAGGCUGACCCCACGACACCUUUCAGGUCUGCUGGCUCCGCCCUCGUCGGGCUGCCAUUUUGGUGGCGUUUGUCCUGAAAUGGCAUCCCCCCCCCCCUCCCCCGUCUGCGAUGUUCGCUCUAACUUCUAGGUUUAAUCCAUCCCUUGUGGCUACUUGUGCCGGUUCAGUUUCGAUGCAAGCCUUUCUGCGUUGACCUUGUACGGUUAUAAAUGUUUUAACAUCCAUAAAAAAAUAAAAACGUGCGCUCCCAUAAAGAGCAGCAAACACAAAACACAGUAAGGAGCGGGAAGAUUUGAGGCCGCGCAGCGCAGGCUCCAGAAGGCCGGCGUCACCGCCAGCUUGCACCGCAUCCCUGAAGUUUAAUGGCUGUGAACACGGUGAUCGCGGGCUUUUUAGAGGGCAUUAUAUUAGUGUGACCGCCGAUCAGGAAACCGAGGUUCAAGGCCACAUACCUAGGCCUACACUGGCUGCAUGGUCCACAAGUACGGUCUUAGGAGUUUGGCGCUUUGGAAUUUAGCCUGCAGCAGAGAUGAAGAGGAGCUCACCGUUUGACAUUGGCCCUCGUCCGCCUGUCUGUGGCUCUUUCCAGACCCUCUCCAUCCACCUGCUCACAUUCUCACUGCCUCUUGGCUUAUCUAAAUCCGUCCACAUUAAGACGCACCUCAAGUACCCGUCCCCUGCAGAACCACUCUUUGCCGGUAGUCUGAUCCCAUGGUUCCGCUUUAACAAUUUCUAUUGCAUUCAUUGCUGAUGUGUUUCCCAAAUUUCACCCAACUUUAUGUUACCACCUUUAUGAAUUUCGUUAUGAUCUGCCACCUUGUUUUAUGAUUUACAUGAAUGCUUAAAUAUGUUCUUUAAUUGGAUUCCCCUUUUGCUAAAAUAAAUGUAUUUGAAGUUAACUGGAUAUUGAUAUU
rnacentral:lncRNA from 1 species